rnacentral:lncRNA from 1 species
ACUUUAUGACUUGUGCACUUCGUGGGAAUGAUAAGUUUUUUCAAAUGGUCUGACUGUCAGAUGCCUGAUUUUGAUGGAUGAUGCUAAGCACGGACAUAAUCACCAUCUUGGUCUCAAAACCAGCCAGUAAGAUACGGGGGAAUCAUCAUGGCUCUGAUCAUAGGAGGCCCUGGAUCUCUGAGUAGCAUGCAGCCUGCUCCCCAUGACUAA